ensembl:misc_RNA
GUUAUAUCUCAAGACUGGAGUCCUCUAUUUACCCACAGAAUGGGUACAGCAAAGACAGCUUCUCCACAAGGUGCUACCAAUGUGCUUCAGCACUGUUCUGGAGGGACCACCCCUAAAGCUGAGAGGUACUUCAUUCUGCAUGCCCAUUAAUUCCUUAGCGUAU